UACGGGGGGGGCAAGCGUUGUUCGGAAUUACUGGGCGUAAAGGGCUCGUAGGCGGCCAACUAAGUCGGAUGUGAAAUCCCCAGGCUCAACUUGGGAACUGCAUCCGAUACUGGAUGGCUUGAAUUCGGGAGAGGGAUGCAGAAUUCCAGGUGUAGCGGUGAAAUGCGUAGAUAUCUGGAGGAAUACCGGUGGCGAAGGCGGCAUCCUGGACUGCUACUGACACUGAGGAACGAAAGCCAGGGGAGCAAACGGG
rnacentral:rRNA from 1 species